GAAUCGGGAUUUAAAUGGAUAUGCCCAUCAUAAAAACUGUAGGUUGUGUUACGGCACAUGGCAGAAAGAUGCACUGUCAAUACUUUCGAUUCCAGUUCCAGAGGCGGCGCAGACAGCAUCUGCAAGAUAUAUACGUGGGACGAGUGGUCAGACCGCAAUAGCUCGUGUCGGGAGGGAUGCUGAUCAUAUCAACAGGAUUAUUGGCAGGGGUUAUCAGAGAGCGCCACCCGCUGCUCAAACACGGGAGCUACCCCUUCUGACCAUGUUUGUGCAAAAGCUGAUGGACAGAAGAUGGACGAAAGAAGAGAAAGGCUUUUUAGGUUCCAUCAUCUGCUACACAAUGUUUGUUAACCUGCUACGGCUAAAGAAGAAGGACAAGAGCGUGGAGGCAAGCUGAGCCUGUGGAUAUGAUCUACACUGCUUCCUGACUGACUUUAUUGAUGCUGAGCGUUGCUAAGAGACUGAACCAAAAGUGUUACUCUAGUGUAUAGGCUACACUCUUGUGUUAUAUUAGGUUAAUUGUGUUUCCAUAGCUAGGGCUGAUAGUGAAGACUUGUAAAGAGCAGAAUCAACAACCUCUGCAUAAUCAAAACAGUUCCUUUGUGAGAAGGUGUUUGUAUUUGUUUUUAUUAAGCAUCCCCAUUAGCUGCAGCUACUCCUCCAGGGGUCCAAACAAGAUUAUGGCAAUUACCGUUAACCCAUGUUCACAGUUAGCCACUAAUAUGUAACUCCAGCCAGAAUAGUCCCAGCGGCCUUACCUUGGCCACAAGUCAGGGCAUGUUCACUGAGGCCAUGGCCCGAUGAGUCCCAGGAGCAGGGUGUGAAGGUGGAAACACAAAAGUCUGAGGCUUUUUGGUAAAACACUGGGGUAAAUCCUCAGUGGAAAUGCACCACAAGUCUCUUGAAUUUCAGGGUGCAGCAUGUUCUUUUUUGGCACAUUGUAACCACAGCUGAUCGCUUCAAAAUGAGUGAAGACAGUGGAGCGUGGUGCAAGACAAAUAUGGUAAAAUGGAAUUAAAGGUUUGAAGAUGAGAGCUGGA